UCCAUAACAACAGGGUUAGAGGUCACAUUAACACACUGCAUGUGGUACAACUGGGUCUACCAUGGGUAACAUCCAUAACAACAGGGUUAGAGGUCACAUUAACACACUGCAUGUGGUACAACUGGGUCUACCAUGAAAACAUCCAUAACAACAGGGUUAGAGGUCACAUUAACACACUGUAUGUGGUACAACUGGGUCUACCAUGGGAAACAUCCAUAAUAACAGGGUUAGAGGUCACAUUAACACACUGUAUGUGGUACAACUGGGUCUACCAUGGAAACAUCCAUAACAACAGGGUUAGAGGUCACAUUAACACACUGCAUGUGGUACAACUGGGUCUACCAUGGAAACAUCCAUAACAACAGGGUUAGAGGUCACAUUAACACACUGCAUGUGGUACAACUGGGUCUACCAUGGAAACAUCCAUAACAACAGGGUUAGAGGUCACAUUAACACACUGCAUGUGGUACAACUGGGUCUACCAUGGAAACAUCCAUAACAACAGGGUUAGAGGUCACAUUAACACACUGCAUGUGGUACAACUGGGUCUACCAUGGGUAACAUCCAUAACAACAGGGUUAGAGGUCACAUUAACACACUGCAUGUGGUACAACUGGGUCUACCAUGGGUAACAUCCAUAACAACAGGGUUAGAGGUCACAUUAACACACUGCAUGUGGUACAACUGGGUCUACCAUGAAAACAUCCAUAACAACAGGGUUAGAGGUCACAUUAACACACUGCAUGUGGUACAACUGGGUCUACCAUGGGAAACAUCCAUAACAACAGGGUUAGAGGUCACAUUAACACACUGCAUGUGGUACAACUGGGUCUACCAUGGGAAACAUCCAUAACAACAGGGUUAGAGGUCACAUUAACACACUGUAUGUGGUACAACUGGGUCUACCAUGGAAACAUCCAUAACAACAGGGUUAGAGGUCACAUUAACACACUGCAUGUGGUACAACUGGGUCUACCAUGGAAACAUCCAUAACAACAGGGUUAGAGGUCACAUUAACACACUGCAUGUGGUACAACUGGGUCUACCAUGGAAACAUCCAUAACAACAGGGUUAGAGGUCACAUUAACACACUGCAUGUGGUACAACUGGGUCUACCAUGGAAACAUCCAUAACAACAGGGUUAGAGGUCACAUUAACACACUGCAUGUGGUACAACUGGG